GUCACUUCCUGCUCACCUCCCGUCCCGGGACGGUCCCGGUUCCCGCGUCCACAACCAGCUGCAGCGGAGUAUUCCCAAAACAAUCGGCAGCCCAGAGGAAAUCCCAGGACCCAGACAAACAGCACCCGACCGCACGCUGCGUCCCACACGCCGCUAGCUGUGGAACACAGGGCGAAGGGGCAGAACAAUCCCCGUCUCUCAUUGAGCCAGACAGCAGGGAAACAGGCCCUUCGGCCCAACCGUCCAUGCCGACCAAGGAGCUGUCUAGGAGAUCCUCGAUACUGAAGUCAUGCAAUCUUUGACUGACAGUGCAAUACCGCUUUCCCUUUUACGCCACCAUCUAUCUCGUCCGAAAAUUCCAUCGAGUGGGAUGAGCUCAGAAGCUUCUGACUCUGAGCAGCUUAACAAGUAGAGACUUUCAGACAUACAGCAUGGAAGCAGGCCAUUUGGCCCACCAUGUACAAGCCCACCAGUGGGCACCCAUCUAUACUGAUCCCACCUUUCAGCACUUGAUCCAUAGCCUUCUAUGCCUGGGUGAUUGAAGUGCUCGUCUAAAUGUUGUCAACAACUCUGCUUCCACCGGUCUCUCCAGCACCAUGUUCCAGGUACUUACCGCUGUCUGGGUGAAAAGGUCCCCCUCAGAUCUCCUCUGAAUCUCUUACCCCCUUAUCUCUUUUUUUUUGUUGUUCUAAUUAUGUUCUUCCUUGUGCAUAAUUUAUGUUCAAUCGAUGUUUUUCUUGUGAA